UUUCCGUAGGUGAACCUGCGGAAGGAUCAUUAACGCAUCUCUGACGGCAUAGGCGCUCCCUGAUCCGUAUCGAAAUGCCGUCCAGCGGGCGCUCCCGAGCCCCUCCACCAUCGCAAACCCACCGUGCACUCUCGUCGGCGAGGAGACUACCGCCCGGAGCAGGCUCGCAGAUACCUCUUUUAAAAACGAAUGAUUAGCGUACCUGCGUGCCGCCUAAACUAACACAACUUACAACAACAGAUCUCUUCUCUCUCUCAUCGAUGAAGAACGCAUCAGCUC
rnacentral:misc_RNA from 1 species